rnacentral:misc_RNA from 1 species
UUUGUUUUAUUUUAUUCCCAUUACCGUUGUCCCGCCAUACAAAUGUGAAGAAACGUAACAGUUCGCCGCUGAGCCAACCGCUAAAACUAAAACCCUAAACUAAUAUUUCUUUCUCUACACACACGGUAAUUAACAGAGUCAUGUCAAUGGCGAAACCAAGUUCAACCCCCGACUCCGAUGAUACAACGUCUUACCACUCCGUGUUCAUAGACACCGGCCUCGACACUCACUUGGCUAUGAUCAUCUCCGGCACCGACACCGUGUCCGAUCUCAAGCAGAAGAUAGUGCAUCAGCACCCACUUUGCUUUCCUCAAAUUGGAGAUAUUAAAAUUCAUUCUUUAAAGGUGAAGCGGAGAGGGUGCUAUUAUCAUUUAUGCGAUUCUAUGUUGGUGAAAAGUGCUUUUCAUGGGGUUAAUAAAAGUUGGUUCAUUAGU